UGCGUAGGCGGUCUUUUAAGUCAGGAGUGAAAGGCUACGGCUCAACCGUAGUAAGCUCUUGAAACUGGAGGACUUGAGUGCAGGAGAGGAGAGUGGAAUUCCUAGUGUAGCGGUGAAAUGCGUAGAUAUCAGGAGGAACACCGAUGGCGAAGGCAGGUCUCUGGGCAGUUACUGACACUGAGGAGCGAAAGCAUGGGUAGCGAACA
rnacentral:rRNA from 1 species